rnacentral:sRNA from 1 species
GUUGGGCAGGGUGGCUCCUGUCUGUAAUCCCAGUAACUCAGGAGGCUGAGGCAGGAGGAUGGCAAGUCUGAGGCCAGCCUGAGCAAUUUAGUGAGACCCUGUCUCAA